UUCCGCUAUGGCUAAAGAAUUUGUGAAGGGCUCUGUUCAUCAAAACGGCAUUGCCCCAAAGGUAUUUUCUUUCUUUUCUUUUUCUGCGACUCAUAUGAAGUCAUCAACAGUGUUGUGAAGACUUCGCAAGUUAGUAUUUUUCUGCAUAAUAUAUUUUUUUUAUCUGAAGAGAUGAAAAUUUGUCUUGGAUUAAUUUUCAUUUUAUAUGAUAUACGUGCUUCUUUUUCUUUUUCUUUCACUGUAGCUUGGUAUCUAAUUUUUAAAUAUUUUUUUUCAACCUUCCUUUUCUCUGUGAGCAUUUUCCGUUAUUUUAUAUGAUGUACAUGCUUCUUUUUCUUUUUCUUUCAUUGCAGCUUGGUAUCUAAUUUUUCAAACUUUUUUUUCGACCUUCCUUUUGUCUGCGAGCAUUUUCCGCUAUGGCCGAAGAAUUUGUGAAGGGCUCUGUUCAUCAAAAUGGUGUCGCUGUCAUAACCCUCGAUCGCCCCAAAGUUAAUUUAGAAUACCUUGGUAGAGUUGUGUUCAACACAAAUGGCGGGAACUGAUUCACACACAACUAUGAUUGAUGGUCUUGGUGUUGCUGGAUGGGGAGUUGGUGGAAUAAAAGCAGAAGCUGCAAUGCUUGGCCAGGAGGAGGAGGAGGACCUUCAGUGGGAUGACAUUGAGGAUCUUAGCAGUAUUGAUGAAAAUAAAACAAGGCAGUAGAGUGGUGGUGGCGCAAGAAAAGUUGAUUUGCAGAAGCGGCUUAGCGCUACGGAACAAGAGGAAGACUUGAGCUGGGACAUUGAAGAUGAUGAUGAUGAGACUCUUAAGGCUUGAAAUGUUUGAUGCAUUAUGUUCUGAUUUCUCAAUGGGAGUGUAUGGUGUGAGUGUCAUUUUCACGCAAAGAAAUUUGUCCGUGUUUUUAUAUUUUCAGGAAUUGGGAUAGAAGUAUUGUUGUUUGUUCUAUUCCUAAAAUGCAUGAAAAGUAUUUG